CCAGGGGUGACAGGUGGUGCAUGGUUGUCGUCAGCUCGUGUCGUGAGAUGUUGGGUUAAGUCCCGCAACGAGCGCAACCCUCGACCUUAGUUGCCAGCAUUCAGUUGGGCACUCUAAGGUGACUGCCGGCUAAAAGUCGGAGGAAGGUGGGGAUGACGUCAAAUCAUCAUGCCCCUUAUGACCUGGGCUACACACGUGCUACAAGUGGGCGGUACAAAGGGUCGCGAACCCGCAGGGGGAGCCAAUCCCAAAAAGCCGCUCUCAGUUCGGAUUGCAGGCUGCAACUCGCCUGCAUGAAGCCGGGAUCGCUAGUAAUCGCGGAUCAGCAUGCCGCGGUGAAUACGUUCCCGGGCCUU
rnacentral:rRNA from 1 species